rnacentral:rRNA from 1 species
GACGAACGCUGGCGGCGUGCUUAACACACGCAAGUCGAACGGUGAAAGCGGAGCUUGCUCCGCUGGAUCAGUGGCGAACGGGCGAGUAACACGUGGGCAACCUGCCCCUGACUUCGGGAUAACUCCUCGAAAGAGGUGCUAAUACCGGAUACGAAUCCUGCAGGCAUCUGCGGGAUUGGAAAGUUUUUCGGUCAGGGAUGGGCCCGCGGCCUAUCAGCUUGUUGGUGAGGUAGUGGCUCACCAAGGCGACGACGGGGAGCCGGGCUGAGAGGGCGACCGGGCACACUGGGAGUGGGACACGGGCCAGACUCCUACGGGAGGCAGCAGGGGGGAAUAUUGCGCAAUGGGCGAAAGCCUGACGCAGCAACGCCGCGUGAGGGAUGGCGGCCUUCGGGUUGUAAACCUCUUUCAGCAGGGAAGAAGCGAAAGUGACGGUACCUGCAGAAGAAGCACCGGCUAACUACGUGCCAGCCGCCGCCGUAA